rnacentral:rRNA from 1 species
AGUGUGUGGGGGCAAGCAGGCGGUGUAAGAGUGAGGGUGCGAGUGUUGAUGGGGAGCACGGGGCGUAGCGCGGAGGUAGGGGUGUUGGAAAGACUGGUGUGAAAGCCCGUGGGUCAACCUAGGAAGUGCAUGUGGAACUGGGGAGCUUGAGUGCUGAAGAGGGUGGUGUAAUUCCAGGUGUAGAGGUGAAAUGCGUAGAGAUCUGGAGGAAUACCGGUGGCGAAGGCGGCAAUCUGGGCAGAGACUGACGCUGAGGUGCGAAAGCGUGGGGAGCAAACAGGAUUAGAUACCCGAGUAGUC